rnacentral:siRNA from 1 species
AUCGGUGGCUAUCAAGGAAUCCUG